rnacentral:rRNA from 1 species
AUUGAACGCUGGCGGCAGGCUUAACACAUGCAAGUCGAGCGGGGGAAGGUAGCUUGCUACCGGACCUAGCGGCGGACGGGUGAGUAAUGCUUAGGAAUCUGCCUAUUAGUGGGGGACAACAUCUCGAAAGGGAUGCUAAUACCGCAUACGUCCUACGGGAGAAAGCAGGGGAUCUUCGGACCUUGCGCUAAUAGAUGAGCAUAAGUCGGAUUAGCUAGUUGGUGGGGUAAAGGCCUACCAAGGCGACGAUCUGUAGCGGGUCUGAGAGGAUGAGCCGCCACACUGGGACUGAGACACGGCCCAGACUUCUACGGGAGGCAGCAGUGGGGAAUAUUGGACAAUGGGCGGAAGCCUGAUCCAGCCAUGCCGCGUGUGUGAAGAAGGCCUUAUGGUUGUAAAGCACUUUAAGCGAGGAGGAGGCUACUUUAGUUAAUACCUAGAGAUAGUGGACGUUACUCGCAGAAUAAGCACCGGCUAACUCUGUGCCAGCCGCCGCCGUAA